rnacentral:rRNA from 1 species
GACGAACGCUGGCGGCGUGCUUAACACAUGCAAGUCGAACGGAAAGGCCCUGCUUGCAGGGGACUCGAGUGGCGGACGGGUGAGUAACGCGUGGGUGACCUGCCGUGCACUUCGGGAUACGCUUGGGAAACGGGGCCUAAUACCGGAUAGGAGCGAUCGUGAGUGUGGGGGUUGGAAAGUUUUUUCGGUGUAGGAUGAGCUCGCGUCCUAUCAGCUUGUUGGUGGGGUAAUGGCCUACCAAGGCGGCGACAGGUAGCCGGCCUGAGAGGGUGUACGGCCACCUUGGGUCUUACGGACGGCCCCGACGCCUACUGUUGGCCGCAGUGGGGAAUCUUGCUCCAUGCGUGCCAGCCUGAUGCAGCGGCGCCGCGUGGGGGAUGGAGCUCUUAGUGUUGUAGACGCCUUUCGAUAUGGACCAUGCCUUUUUUGACGGUACCUAGAUAAGAAGCACCGGCUAACUACGUG